UCGUGUACAUUAAUGGUACAUAUCUUUAUAUAUAUAUAAAUUGUGACGUACUGUCGUCGCCGCCCACCCGCCAGACAGAUCUGGUGGUGGUCGACUGGUGCUGCAGGUAGCUGUCGCCGUAAAUUAUAUUACGUAUUAUUGUUUUUCGUUUGCAAUAAUAUUUUGUAAUUUUUUUUUUUUUUUUUUUUACCCAUUUCCGCUCACGUCACACAGUGUCUCCCUCUGCGUAUAAAUAUUAUUGUAGAAACCUCGCCGAGUCCCGCACGGUGGUUUUUACUUUUUAGUUUUUACACUGCCUCGCCAUAGCUGCAGCUGCCGCUGCUGCUGCUGGCGGCGUCUGGCGGCCGUCCGCUGUAACCGAUGCCGCUCCGCCCAUCUCAUUUACCUAUAUAGGAUAAUCCUAUUAUUAUUGUACCUUUACGGACAUUUUAUAUUGUUUUUUAUUCUAUUUCUAUAAAGUAUACACAUUGCACGUCACUGCUGUCGCGGCUUCUGGAUAUCAAUGUCGUUUUUGUCUGUUAUAUAAGACCAUUGAAUAAAUGCAAUUUUUGUACCGCGUAGUAAAACUACGUAAUACGUAUACGCGCACGCGUACCUCGUGAUGAGCGGAAGUUCGGCGCACCCGCCGCCGGUGUACAGACGGCCGCUCGAGACAUCCAAGUUACAGAGCUUCCACGCUUCCCGUUCACGCCAUUCACGGAGCACGCGUCAUUAAUGCAGGUUUAGCGGUUUGUGCGCUUCCGGUAACGGGCGGUAGUCCAGAGUAUACGCACGACUUAAAAUUAGACUACACUUUGAUUAAAUUUUUUGGCAUUUUGCUAGGUUCUUGGUGGCUAAAUCACAUCUUGGUGACCAUAAUAUCAUUAUGAAACAAUAAUAAUGCGUUUAAAAUUUGUUUGUAACUUAUAAUUUAAAUUCAAAAUCAACCAACCAUUUUUUGUUGAGUUUGUUUUUAUGUUGUUCACAUCCGUCAGUUAUAGGUAGUCCCGAAAAGGACCGUUUUCACCAAUAUGGCCGGAAGAUCUUUCGAUGUUCGGCCGCUUGAUUUAUUAUAGUGUUUUACUUCCUCUUGUUAACAUACUAUUAAUAUCUUAAGGUAUGAGCAUUCAAAUCUUCAAGUAUUAACAACACUGCUAGGCAGGAGGGCCACAAGAAGGUACAGCAUAUACCUGCCAUUUAUCGACAUAGUACUAAAUAAUUGUUAUUGUUUUUUUUUCAUUUAAUUGAUAUAAUUACAAUUUAAAAACGUUAAAAAAAAUUGUGUUACAUCAACCUUUAAAGGAAUUAUAAUUUAUUUUACAAAUAAAAAAAUACGGGCUUGUGAAUGUUAGCUUAUUAUUUUUAUUUAGUUAAAUAUUUGAUUUAAAUGACGACUAAAAAUCGUAGGACUACCUAGUUAUUUAAUUUCAAAUAAUGACAAAAUGAAAAAAGUAAAAGUAAUUUAUUUUAGUAAUGGCUAAAACAAAAAAAAAACUAUUUUGUAUUAUUAUUGCAAACUUACAAUUUAAAUUGCAUAUAUUGACAUAUUGUGAAUUGUGAUUAAAAUGAUUACUUAUUGCAGUAAUGAUUGUAAAAAAUGUUAGUAAAAAUUUACAAAGAUUAAGGUAUUAUUUUUAGAUUUUUAUCUUCCAAGUUCUAACAAGCCAUUUUAGUUUAUCUAUGGAUUAGCUAUAAAAGGACAAUUAAUAGAAAAUAAGUAUACUGAAGUACUGAACAGUUGUAUUAGGCGAGUUUAUUACUUUAUAAGUAAUUUAUAACCGCCAUUAUGAAGUGCCUUAAUUGCAGCUGCGAAAUGUUUUAACUACGAAUCGAGAAAAUGAAAUAAUAUUAUGUAUUCGAAUUGUAGAUAAUAAUAUAAUUGAUUUUAUAUACUCUUAUAAUGCAUUAUGCAUGAUGUAAGUAUAUUAAAAAUACUAAUUUUGUAAACAAUAGUUUUAUCAUUUACUAUUUUAUGACUAUAAUAAAUAUUUUAUUUUGAAACGUAA